UACAGAGACUGCAAGCGUUAUUCGGAUUCACUGGGCGUAAAGGGUGCGCAGGUGGCCAAGUGUGUUAGGCGUGAAAGCCCGGGGCUUAACCCCGGAAUUGCACCUAAAACUACUUGGCUAGAGCAUUGGAGAGGGGAGCAGAAUUCAUGGUGUAGCAGUGAAAUGCGUAGAUAUCAUGAGGAAUACCAGAGGCGAAGGCGGCUCCCUGGACAAUUGCUGACACUCAGGCACGAAAGCGUGGGGAGCAAAAGGG
rnacentral:rRNA from 1 species